GCACUCGUGAUGACGUCAUUUUAAUCACGUCACGUACUUCGGAGCCUUCUACCACUCUAGAAGACUAUUCAAUAAGAAAUGUCAGGGCCGUGGUGAAUUGUGCGAAAGAAACCGUGACUGCUGUCUGAACAGAAAUUGUUACAAGAAAGGCAAUGAUCUGGUCAGCAAUCCAGUGAAACAGUUCUUUUCUUCAGCUCAGGAUUGAAGCAUAAUAAACCGGCUGUAACGGGUCCGGUUUACAUUCUUGUACUCUGUUUUCUUGAUUUCUUAUCUGAAUAAAACACACUCUGAAAGCAA